rnacentral:rRNA from 1 species
CGGAGGGUGCGAGCGUUGUCCGGAAUCAUUGGGCGUAAAGGGCGCGUAGGUGGCCCGGUCAGUCCGUGGUGAAAGCGCGGGGCUCAACCCCGCGUCGGCCAGGGAUACUGCGGGGCUGGAGCACUGUAGAGGCAGGCGGAAUUCCGGGUGUAGCGGUGGAAUGCGUAGAGAUCCGGAAGAACACCGGUGGCGAAGGCGGCCUGCUGGGCAGUGGCUGACACUGAGGCGCGACGGCGUGGGGAGCAAACAGGAUUAGAUACCCUGGUAGUCCACGCCGUAAACGAUGGGCACUAGGCGCUUGGGGGAGCGACCCCCCGAGGGCCGGCGCUAACGCAUUAAGUGCCCCGCCUGGGGAGUACGGCCGCAAGGCUG